GGGCCCCACCCUUAUGAUCUCAGUUAACCUUAAUUACUUCUAUAAAGGCCAGGUCUCCAAAUACAGUCACACGGGGAGCUAGGGCUUCAACCUAUGGCUUUUGGGGGAUACAGUUCAGUCCAUAGCAGUGGGGAAAGGAUGUGACUCAGUCUAGAGAGACUCAAGGAGGGAAUGCUUAGAUAGGAGCAUGGAGGGCGUGCCUGGUGAAGGGAACAGUAUGGCACAGCUUCAGAGGCAAGGGUGAGCCAGCAGCAAGGGGCUGGCUAUGGCCGGUACAAAAAGCAUGUGCUCGUGGGAAAUAGGCACCAAAGAAGGCCCAGAGAGGUUUAACAACUUCCUCAGAAUCACACAGCUUCCAAAUGGUUGGGUUGGGUUUACAUUUAGGCGGUCUUGCUCCAGAGCCAGUGCUCCUAACCUUUGCAAGCCACGAACCUCAAGAAAGUGGAGAAGGAAACGCUGGGAAAUCUGGAAGUCAGACAUGGCAACCUAGUUUAUCUCCCGGGAGCUGACUUCAUUUCUAAACGUAUAGGGGUUUCUUAGAGGAGCUUCAGAAUACUAAUCAUCGCUAGUGAGGGCACUUGGACACUUUGCUUCACCUCAGCCAGCACCUCUUUUCCCAGCUGUAAAAUGAGAGCUAAUGCUGGCAGCUGUUGGGAUGUCCUCUUCCAGGAAUGGUGAUGAGUUUCCCUGGAUCCAGCCCUGGCUUGGCUGAGGUUUUUCUCACUGUAAGAAGAGGACAAUAGCCUAUGAUCUACAGUGCCCAUUCCAACUCAGAGAAUCUUUACAUCUGGAGAUCUAUAGCAGGGCUAUCCCUAGUGACAUGCGUGAAGAAGCUUGGAAAUGGUGCUGGGUAGGAGCUGAGUGUGCAGAAUGUGGAAAGGCAUUCUAAACCAAAGGAAGAACACGAGUAAAGAUGAUGAAGCAGGGAUAAGGCUAAAAUGAAAUUUGUGAUCUGAUCCACAUACAAGCACAGUGUAGUACAGCUGGAAUAUAGAGAAGAGCUUGAAGACUUAUGAGCAACUAUCCCGGUACUCUUGGAGGCUCUGCAACCACAGUUUGAGAAACUCCGCGUUCAAAGUUAAAAACUGUCACCUGAAUAGUUAAUAACAUCAAAGAUUGUGAAAGCAAGUAUAAAUAACACAGAGAUUAAAAUAAUGAGGCAGGAUCAGAAAAUGUCCAUUGCAAUCAGAAGCUCACCGAAUGUGCUUAGCUGAGUGGAGAAUGAUUUCUCGGUGUUGUAUUUGCUCUGAAGAGUCUGAAUUCUUGGGGAGGCAGAAGCUGGAAAAAACAAGAAGGAAGAUCUCCCAUAGAUUUUCAAGGUGCUGAGAAAACAGCUUCUAGACAUAUCUCGAAAGCCAAGUUUCUGAGAUGUAAUCAGAAAGCUGUAGUGGAAGGAAAUUUGAACCAGAAGACUGCAGUCCUGUCUAUGAACGUUAAACCUGUGUGGCUUAGGAAACGAGUCUAACCUCGUCUGAGCCUCAGUUUGUUCACCUAAAAGAUGGAGAUGAGAGCUCAUUUGUCUCAUUCUCAGGGGUUAUGGUGGCCAUCCAGACAUAAAGAAAUUAGAACGUUCAUUCAUCUGCAGAUGCUCACACAUUCCUACAGGAUGACUGAAACCCACAGCAAAC
rnacentral:lncRNA from 1 species